GAUGAACGCUGGCGGCGUGCCUAAUACAUGCAAGUCGAGCGAACGGACGCGAAGCUUGCUUCUCUGAUGUUAGCGGCGGACGGGUGAGUCACACGUGGAUCCCCUACCUAUAAGACUGGGAUAACUUCGGGAAACCGGAGCUAAUACCGGAUAAUAUUUUGAACCGCAUGGUUCAAAAGUGAAAGACGGUCUUGCUGUCACUUAUAGCUGGAUCUGGGCUGCAUUAGCUAGUCGGUAAGGUAACGGCUUACCAAGGCAACGAUGCAUAGCCGACCUGAGAGGGUGAUCGGCCACACGGGAACUGAGACACGGUCCAGACUCCUACGGGAGGCAGCAGUAGGGAAUCUUCCGCAAUGGGCGAAAGCCUGACGGAGCAACGCCGCGUGAGUGAUGAAGGUCUUCGGAUCGUAAAACUCUGUUAUUAGGGAAGAACAUAUGUGUAAGUAACUGUGCACAUCUUGACGGUACCUAAUCAGAAAGCCACGGCUAACUACGUG
rnacentral:rRNA from 1 species